rnacentral:antisense_RNA from 1 species
AUGUGCGAUCUGCCUCCCGCGGCGGGCCGAGUCUCCAGGAAGGACCUGAGUUUUCUUUACCCAUGGUCAGGGAGGCGCCAUCGCCCUGGCUUUGGGGCUGGGGCCUCAGGGGAGGUUCCGGUAGGGGCCUUGGAGAGGCUGCUCUUUUUGCAAGGCCCGACACGGCGGGCCCUGCGCAGGCCACCCUAUUCCCCGCCCUCAGGGCGUCAGUAUCCGCCUGAGGCCGGAUACCCCCGCUGGGCCCAGAUGCUCCCUCUGGGCCCGGAGCAUCCUCGGCGCUGCCCUCCCAGAGCCCCGCAGAGGCUGAAGUGGCGCGGGGUAGGGGGGCCCGGCUCCGCGAGAAGCGGCGGCAGCGAGGGCUGGAGGACCCGGGCUCCCGGGCUCCGGGUCUCCGGGGCUCCGGGGGGUCUGGCCUGGGUGGGACUGAGCCCAUCCAGGAACUGGGACUCCGGGGUUCUGGUGUGGGUGGAUCCGGGGCAGGCUCAGGACCAAGUCCCUCUCCUUCCACCAAGAAGCGCCCAGAGGCCGGCGGGAGCUCCAGGUUCACCUCCUCCUCCUCCAGGAAAACCCACUUCCAACUGGAUGUCUGGAUGAACUACUGAAAGCUGCUGAGUGUCCUGCAGCAGAGUGUCACUCUGUCGCCCAGGCUAGAGUGCAAUGGCGCGAUCUCGGCUCACUGCAACCUCUGCCUCCAGGGUUCAAGCGAUAGUCCUGCCUCAGCCUCCCGAGUAGCUGGGACUACAGGCACGUGCCACCACGCCCGGCUAAUUUUUUGUAUUUAGUAGAGACAGGGUUUCACCGCGUUAGCCACUGACCUCGUGAUCUGCCCGCCUCGGCCUCCCAAAGUGCUGGGAUUACAGGCGUGAGCCACCGCGCCCGGCCCCACUAAUGGGUUUUUCAUGACCUAUCUUGUGUGCUCUCCUA